rnacentral:rRNA from 1 species
UACGAAGGGGGCUAGCGUUGCUCGGAAUUACUGGGCGUAAAGGGCGCGUAGGCGGACAGUUUAGUCAGAGGUAAAAGCCCAGGGCUCAACCUUGGAACUGCCUUUGAUACUGACUGUCUUGAGUUCGGGAGAGGUGAGUGGAAUGCCGAGUGUAGAGGUGAAAUUCGUAGAUAUUCGGCGGAACACCAGUGGCGAAGGCGACUCACUGGCCCGAUACUGACGCUGAGGCGCGAAAGCGUGGGGAGCAAACGGG